GUCGGCGUAAAUCGGAGAAGAGUCCAUGGAUAAUUCUUUGGAGGUAUUCGGAUUGACAAUCUGGAAGGCUGUUACAGCGGGAAGAUCCUUUAGCUUGGUACUACAGCGGCGUCGCGGAUUGGAUGAAGGAGGGAGUGAAGUUACCCGCCAAAUGUGUGAUGCCACGAAAAAAUAGAGUUCGGUUCGCGUUGACGAGAUCAACGGAUAUGAAAUGGCGGAGCUCGGAGCGCAAAGGAAUGACAAGUUUCCUCGGCGAACGAGCCUGACUGUCGGUGUGCCGGUUUUAUAAGUCCCAUUGAGGCUUGAUUCGCCAAUGCAAUUGACUUAUUUUGGAAGAAUUUUGGUGGACGUAAUUGAACUGGUCUCAUUUAGGUCGCUCAUUUUCAGGAGAAAGGCUUGAACUGGGCUUAGAUUAGUGGAGAUUUUGUACAAGGAAUAUUAUGGCCCCCGCAAAUUGAUCCCCACGUUCACUCACGAAUA
rnacentral:lncRNA from 1 species